rnacentral:snRNA from 1 species
GUGCCUGGAUUCAUUGGGA